rnacentral:rRNA from 1 species
CGGAGAGGGAGCAUGAGAAACGGCUACCACAUCUACGGAAGGCAGCAGGCGCGAAAAUUGCCCAAUCCUGACACGGGGAGGCAGUGACAAGAAAUAACAACUCUAGGUUUUCUUAGAAGUGUAAUGAGGAUAAUUUACAAACCUUACCAAAUGCAAUUGGAGGGCAAGUCUGGUGCCAGCAGCCGCGGUAAUUCCAGCUCCAAUAGCGUAUAUUAAAGUUGUUGCAGUUAAAAAGCUCGUAGUUGAAAUUCUGAUUGUUCGGGUUUUUAGCCCUUAGGCGGAAAUACCGACAGUCAUCCGCUUGCAAACAUACGUUUGACCUUAAUCAGUUGACUAUGUGAGUAAGCAUUUUACCUUGAGAAAAACAGAGUGUUCCAGGCAGGUUUGUCCGGAAUGCAUUAGCAUGGAAUAAUAGAACAUGACUGAAGUCUAUUUAUUGGUUAAAGGCUUUAGUAAUGAUUAAUAGGAACAGUCGGGGGCAUUCGUACUCAGCAGUCAGAGGUGAAAUUCUAAGAUUUGCUGAAGACGAACUAAUGCGAAAGCAUUUGCCAAGGAUGUUUUCAUUAAUCAAGAACGAAAGUUAGGGGAUCAAAGACGAUCAGAUACCGUCCUAGUCUUAACUAUAAACGAUACCGACUCGGAUUCAGAUGAAUCAAAAUGUUCAUUUGGGACCGUAGGAGAAAUCAAAGUCUUUGGGUUCUGGGGGGAGUAUGGUCGCAAGGCUGAAACUUAAAGGAAUUGACGGUUUUGCACCACCAUGGAGUGGAGUUUGCGGCUUAAUUUGACUCAACACUGGGAAACUCAUCAGGGCAAGAAGAUUUUAGGAUUGACAGAUUGAGAGUUCUUUCUUGAUUGGUCUAGUGGUGGUGCAUGGCCGUUCUUAGUUGGUGGAGUGAUUUGUCUGGUUAAUUCCGUUAACGAACGAGACCUUAACCUGCUAACUAGUGUUCCGAUCUCAAAUCGGAAGCACUUCUUAGAGGGACUAUGUGAUGUAAUCACAUGGAAGUUUGAGGCAAUAACAGGUCUGUGAUGCCCUUAGAUGUCCUGAGCUGCACGCGUACUACAAUGGCACUUUCAACGAGUUUUUCCUGAUCCGAAAGGAUUUGGGUAAUCUUUUUAGUGAGUGCCGUGAUUGGGAUAGAUCUUUGUAAUUGUGGAUCUUGAACUAGGAAUUCCUAGUAAGCGCGAUUCAUCAAAUCGUGCUGAUUACGUCCCUGCAAAAUGUACACACCGCCCGUCGCUUUUACCGAUUGAGUGUUCAGGUGAGUCUUCUUGAUAGUUGCAAAAUUAGAAAUUAAACAAACCUUAGC